CAGCUGUAGUGAUAAAACCAAAACAGGCUAUGAAACCUGGUGUGGUCCCUGACCUUACCAGUUCCUCUCAAGCCAUCUAACCCAUGCCAGCAUGGAAAACAGAUGUUAAAUGGUGAUGAUG